rnacentral:tRNA from 1 species
AGAUAGCUCAGUUGGUAGAGCACCUGACUAGAGAUCCAGGGGGCCCAAGUUCCAAUCCUGGUCU